UACUUAUGUUUUAAAAACGAUUGUAAACUACGCAAACAGUUAUGCAAAUGCCUUGUAAAUCAUUCUACGACAGUUAAUUAAGCUUUAAAAACGAUUGUAAAACUUUAUUACCUGUUGUGAGAUAGAACUCUCUCAAGGAGAAACGGAUAGGUUGAGAAUCAACUCUAAACCAAAGAGUUGAUCCUUUUGUUUUCACUCUCUGCUGCAUGAGAUAAUGUAAGAUUUUUCCAGAAAAUCUGAUUCCCUUCUUAGCCUUCAUUUUUGGUUCCAAUUCAACUAAAGGACCAAGAAACGAACUUCUAAUCUUCUGAAAUAAACACUCGCCUAAAGCUUCCUCUACUUUACUAACUAAAUUCCAAUCCGAGUAUUGUUGAACGGUUCCCAGUGCAAUAGAUUCCUCACCUUCUCUGUAGAUUUGUUCAGGCAAUGUAAGGAUUUCACUCUCUGAAUCCAUCUGCAAAACAUGUUAUGAAACAGCGUCAGAUCUACUAUAAAAUCGACUAUAAAAUCGACUAUAAAAUCGACUAUAAAAUCGAUUAUAAAAACGGUUACCGUCGGAUCUAUCGAUAUCUCUGGGGAUUGUUUGCGUCGUAGAGAAAUGAUCUGAAUCCUUCAGCGAAGAACAGGUUUAUCGGAGAGGAAAUUCGUCGGCGAUUUUGGGGUUUCUCAGAAAGAAAAUUCGUCGGCGAUUUUGAGUGAAAUCGGAGAGGAAAUUCGUUGGCGAUUUUGAGUGAAAUUGGAGAGGAAAUUCGUCGGCGAUUUUGAGUGAAAUCGGAGAGGAAAAUCGGAGAGGAAAACGAAGAAGUUUGUGCCAAAACGAAGAAGUUUGUGAAACGAACGUGAAACCUAAUCAUUCAGAGGGUAAGACAGUCAUUUGGCAUAUAAGAAGGGGUAGUUUUAAAAAUGGCCUUCAGGAAAGGGCAUUUUUACAAAAGGUUAUUAGAAUAAGGGCAGUUUUGUAAAUCUCCCUUAAUUUUUUCAUGUGCAACAAAUUCUACAAGUGUAUCCCAGACAUAGCCUUGUUCUUCCUCUUGCGACGUUUUUCUCUGGUUGAUGGAAACCAUGUUU
rnacentral:sRNA from 1 species